GCCUCUGUGGCCCAGCUGGUUAGUGCGUGAGGCUGUUAAUCGAAAGGUUGUUGGUUCGAGCCCCCCAGGGACA